rnacentral:tRNA from 1 species
GCCUCCGUAGGUAAACGGAUAUACCAACUCCCUUCUAAGGAGUAAUUCGAGGUUCGAUUCCUCGCGGAGGCA